GCCCUUGUAGCUCAGUCGUAGAGCGCUGCACUCGUAUAGCGAGUUAAUGCAGAGGUCCGCGGUUCAAUCCCGCGUGGGGGCA